AACGAACGCUGGCGGCAUGCCUAACACAUGCAAGUCGAACGAGACCUUCGGGUCUAGUGGCGCACGGGUGCGUAACGCGUGGGAAUCUGCCCUUGGGUUCGGAAUAACAGUUAGAAAUGACUGCUAAUACCGGAUAAUGUCUUCGGACCAAAGAUUUAUCGCCCAGGGAUGAGCCCGCGUAGGAUUGGCUAGUUGGUGAGGUAAAGGCUCACCAAGGCGACGAUCCUUAGCUGGUCUGAGAGGAUGAUCAGCCACACUGGGACUGAGACACGGCCCAGACUCCUACGGGAGGCAGCAGUGGGGAAUAUUGGACAAUGGGCGAAAGCCUGAUCCAGCAAUGCCGCGUGAGUGAUGAAGGCCUUAGGGUUGUAAAGCUCUUUUACCCGGGAUGAUAAUGACAGUACCGGGAGAAUAAGCCCCGGCUAACUCCGUGCCAGCAGCCGCGGUAAU
rnacentral:rRNA from 1 species